rnacentral:misc_RNA from 1 species
UUUCAACCCUCGACGUCCCCCGGGACGUCGGCCUUGGGGACCGGCAGCACCCCGCCGGCCCUGAAAUGGAGUGGCGGCCCGUCCGCGGCGACCUCUGCGAAGUACUACAGCUCGCACCGGAAACCCGACGCGGCCCCGCCGUGAAACCCCCAACUCUGAACGU